UACGUAGGGGGCGAGCGUUGUCCGGAUUUAUUGGGCGUAAAGAGCGUGUAGGCGGCCAGGUAGGUCUGCUGUGAAAACUUGAGGCUCAACCUCGAGACGUCGGCGGAAACCAUCUGGCUAGAGUCCGGAAGAGGAGAGUGGAAUUCCUGGUGUAGCGGUGGAAUGCGCAGAUAUCAGGAGGAACACCAAUAGCGAAGGCAGCUCGCUGGGACGGUACUGACGCUAAGGCGCGAAAGCGUGGGGAGCGAACAGG
rnacentral:rRNA from 1 species